rnacentral:rRNA from 2 species
CUUGACACUGAACAUUGAGCCUUGAUGUGUAGGAUAGGUGGGAGGCUUUGAAGCGUGGACGCCAGUCUGCGUGGAGCCAACCUUGAAAUACCACCCUUUAAUGUUUGAUGUUCUAACGUUGGCCCCUGACCGGGGUUGCGGACAGUGUCUGGUGGGUAGUUUGACUGGGGCGGUCUCCUCCCAAAGUGUAACGGAGGAGCACGAAGGUUAGCUAAUCCUGGUCGGACAUCAGGAGGUUAGUGCAAUGGCAUAAGCUAGCUUGACUGCGAGCGUGACGGCGCGAGCAGGUGCGAAAGCAGGUCAUAGUGAUCCGGUGGUUCUGAAUGGAAGGGCCAUCGCUCAACGGAUAAAAGGUACUCCGGGGAUAACAGGCUGAUACCGCCCAAGAGUUCAUAUCGACGGCGGUGUUUGGCACCUCGAUGUCGGCUCAUCACAUCCUGGGGCUGAAGUAGGUCCCAAGGGUAUGGCUGUUCGCCAUUUAAAGUGGUACGCGAGCUGGGUUUAGAACGUCGUGAGACAGUUCGGUCCCUAUCUGCCGUGGGCGCUGGAGAAUUGAGGGGGGCUGCUCCUAGUACGAGAGGACCGGAGUGGACGCAUCACUGGUGUUCGGGUUGUCAUGCCAAUGGCACUGCCCGGUAGCUAAAUGCGGAAGAGAUAAGUGCUGAAAGCAUCUAAGCACGAAACUUGCCCCGAGAUGAGUUCUCCCUGAGACUUUAAGUCUCCUGAAGGAACGUUGAAGACGACGACGUUGAUAGGCCGGGUGUGUAAGCGCAGCGAUGCGUUGAGCUAACCGGUACUAAUGAACCGUGAGGCUUAACCUU